GUUCCCCUGCUUUGUACGUGAAAGUCGGCAUUUUUUGAGCCAACAGCCAAAAAAAGGAAGGAUCCUCUACCUGCCGUGUGCACGCCUCUCAAGAGGAAGCCUAACGCAGGCAUCGAUCCGUCCACCUGCGAGAGCAGGUUCAAACUUGCCGGCCGCACGGCAAUAGCGGGGGAAUU
rnacentral:other from 1 species